CAAAAUUUUACUUAUAGAUCUAUUACAAAACUCUUGAAAUCACUAAAAACAUCAAUCCUAUUUUAUUUCACAAAUCUCAAGUCAUCUGAAAAUAAUCUUGACUUUCUAAAGCUCUUACAAAGUCAUAAAAACUCCAAAUUAUCCAAAAUCAAUGUUCAUAGAAACCUUAUCCAAUCUGCUAUCAAAUCCCACUCUUCGAUUUACAAAAGAAUCCUUGAGUUACUGUUGGUUCUCAAUUUUGUGCCUUACGAUUUGAUUUCGACCUAGGUUGAUAAUUGG
rnacentral:lncRNA from 1 species